AAAAACGACAACACUUUUAGCCAUUUUCAAGAUGUCUCUUUCAUGAGGAAGGUCGUUUCCCAGUGCCCCUACCAGCAGAUGUCGCUGUUUUCCUUGGAGUGAUAUGGAGAAGCCUUCCACCACCAUCUUGGACUCUGGAACCCACAUUACCCAGAAGGCCUUGUGUGGAAUACCGCCAGCUUAGCCAAUGAAAUGUCAGAAAAGGCCUUUCUUUUGCCUCACGCGCGAGCGGGGGCGGGACGUGCGACGCACUCUGGGCGGCUAUUGGUCUUCACCCAGAAUUUACUCAGUUCGGGUCGAAGGCCUCAAGCGGGCGGCGGCAGAGGCAGAUACUUGGCGGGAGAAGGCCGAGUCCUUGCCCGCUCAGCUCGCACGUGGGAGUGAAGUUCGCUGACGCCACCGGGUUCCCCACGUCCCUGACGGAACAGAGACCCUUUACUCCCCCUCCCACCGCCCCUGCUUCUUACCGCCACUCCGGCCUCUCCGGCCUAGAUCCGCGCACAGCGCGCAAUGGCAAUGGCCUUGCUCAGGGGCUCAGCUGAGGUUGGCAUGACCUUUGAGGACAUUGCCCUGUACUUUUCCGGGAGGAAUGGAGCCUCCUUGAUGAGGAUCAGAGACAGCUGUACCUGAAUGUGAUGCUGGAGAACUUUGAACUUGUAUCCUCCCUGGGUCUCUCUUUACUGCAAACCAACGUUGGACCGUGCCUGCACCACCUUGGAGUGCACAAGUAUUAUUAUAUUGACGUUGAACCCCGUGUGCUCUAAUACAAUUAAUGUUUAUGGGUAUGAGCACCUUCAAAUGAUUCUAUACGGACUCACAUGGCCAGCAGGUUGCUGCUGUGGAGCAGAGAAAGUUGAGACCCCGACUGAACAGAAGGUUUCUGUAAGAGUGUCACUGGCAAGGAAUCCCAAGGUAGCCUUGUCUUCCCAGAAGAGCCACCCCUGUGAGCGUUGUGGGCUCGUCUUGAGAAACAUUUUCCACUUGACUGAUCUGCAGAGAACACAACACGGACAGAUACUGUUGAGGUGUGGUGCAUGUGCAAAACCGUUUUACUGCUGUGUAAAAUUUCACCAACAGCACGUGAGAAACUUUCAAUACAGGUGUGGACAGGAUCUCA